GCCAGCACCAAAAGCAAAUUGAUUGCACUGGUUUCUGAUGGAUCACUUAAGUUAAGCAAUGUUGUACAUGCACAGGAUCCAGCUGGGUGAUUAUCUGGGCAACUAUGUGCUGCUGGCA
rnacentral:rRNA from 1 species